rnacentral:lncRNA from 1 species
CAUGUUUCUUCACAUCAAGUAGCACAAAAAUGCCAACACGUAUUUACAGUGUGGAACAUCGAACAUUGAGCAUGGCAUAGGAGGCUUGCUGAAAAUGGGUUUAGUUCCUAUAUAACAGAGUGGCUUUAGCAUGGCUCUAAACGGCUCCUUCAUCAUGCUGAGUUAUUUACAGACUUACUUUCUUUGGGCCACUGACUGACAGAUGGGAUAAGAUAAUGAGUACAACUUGAGAAAUGUUACCUUUUUUAGACUAGACUCAUAACUGCUGCUGAUGGGUUAAAAGGUUUAAAAAUAUAAGCACAAAUGAAAGUGCACCCUAGGGUGCAUCUAUAUCUAGGUAUUCUAGCAAGACUCUAUGUCAAUGUCUGCUAGAAGUUGAUCAUAAAGUCACACUGAAUGGAAUGAAAAUUGUCUCAAGGUCAGAAAGGAGGAGGAAGAACAACACUCAUUCCUUCAUAGUCUUCAGCAUGCGGGAUUGGAGCAAGAUGCUCCUGAUACCAAUUCUUGGAAGGUAUGUAUGCACACAUGGUUUGCUUAUGAGUUUCUCUGGACAUCUUGACAGUCACCAUAGAUGCAGAGUGCUGGGAUAGCAAGGUCUUGUGCCAGAUCUUAGAAUCAUAGAAUCAUAAUAUCAUAGAGUUGGAAGAGGCCUCAUGGGACAUCCAGUCCAACCCCAUGCCAAGAAGCAGGAAAAUCGCACUCAAAGCACACCCAAAAGAUGGCCAUCCAGCCUCUGCUUAAAAGCCUCCAAAGAAGGAGCCUCCCACCACACUCUGGGGUAGAGAGUUCCACUGCUGAACAGCUCUAAAAGUGAGGAAGUUCUUCCUAAUGUUCAGGUGGAAUCUCCUUUCCUGUAGUUUGAAGGCAUUGUUCCAUGUCCUAGUCUCUAGGGCAGCAGAAAACAAGCUUACUCCCUCCUCCCUAUGACUUCCUCUCACAUAUUUAUACAUUGCUAUUAUGUCUUCUCUCAGCCUUCUCUUUUAAACAUGCCCAGCUUUUUAAGCCACUUCCCAUAGGGCUUGUUCUUCAGACCCUUGAUCAUUUUAGUUGCCUUCUCUGGACACCUUUCAGCUUGUCAACAUCUCCCUUCAACUGCGGUGCCCAGAAUUGGACACAGUGUGAUUCCAGGUGUGGUCUGAUCAAGGCAGAAUAGAGGGGGAAUCAUGACUUCCCGGCAUCUAGACACUAUACUCCUAUUUAUGCAGACCAAAAUCCCAUUGGCUUUUUUUGCCACUGCAUCGCAUUGUCUGCUCAUGUUUA